rnacentral:rRNA from 1 species
AUUGAACGCUGGCGGCAUGCCUUACACAUGCAAGUCGAACGGCAGCACGGGUGCUUGCACCUGGUGGCGAGUGGCGAACGGGUGAGUAAUAUAUCGGAACGUACCUUAUUGUGGGGGAUAACGCAGCGAAAGCUGUGCUAAUACCGCAUAAUCCCUAAGGGGGAAAGCGGGGGACCGUAAGGCCUCGCGCAAUUAGAGCGGCCGAUACCUGAUUAGCUAGUUGGUGAGGUAAAGGCUCACCAAGGCAACGAUCAGUAGCUGGUCUGAGAGGACGAUCAGCCACACUGGGACUGAGACACGGCCCAGACUCCUACGGGAGGCAGCAGUGGGGAAUUUUGGACAAUGGGGGCAACCCUGAUCCAGCAAUGCCGCGUGAGUGAAGAAGGCCUUCGGGUUGUAAAGCUCUUUUGUCAGGGAAGAAACAGCAGCUCUAACACAGUUUGCGAAUGACGGUACCUGAAGAAUAAGCACCGGCUAAUCACGUGCCAGCAGCCGCGGUAA